GUGAACGCUGGCGGUAGGCCUAACACCUGCAAGUCGAACGGCAGCACAGUAAGAGCUUGCUCUUACGGGUGGCGAGUGGCGGACGGGUGAGGAAUACAUCGGAAUCUACUUUUUCGUGGGGGAUAACGUAGGGAAACUUACGCUAAUACCGCAUACGACCUACGGGUGAAAGCAGGGGAUCUUCGGACCUUGCGCGAUUGAAUGAGCCGAUGUCGGAUUAGCUAGUUGGCGGGGUAAAGGCCCACCAAGGCGACGAUCCGUAGCUGGUCUGAGAGGAUGAUCAGCCACACUGGAACUGAGACAUGGUCCAGACUCCUACGGGAGGCAGCAGUGGGGAAUAUUGGACAAUGGGCGCAAGCCUGAUCCAGCCAUACCGCGUGGGUGAAGAAGGCCUUCGGGUUGUAAAGCCCUUUUGUUGGGAAAGAAAAGCAGCAGGUUAAUACCCCGCUGUUCUGACGGUACCCAAAGAAUAAGCACCGGCUAACUUCGUG
rnacentral:rRNA from 1 species